rnacentral:lncRNA from 1 species
UAGACUAUAGUUUACUCAUACAUGAUUGUGUGUGAUGAAUCUACAUAUGUUUAAAUGAGUGCACUAUGUAAUAUUUCAAUGGGUGUACUCAUAUGAUGAAUAUUUUAUGGUUCUAAGGUCUUUAUGCUAUAAGAAUGCAGAUAAUAUCGGAUACCCAUCCACAUUUAUUUUAAAUACGAAUACGAAUUUGGAUCAUGUAAAACGAAUUCAAAUUUGUCCAAUUAAGGUACCAUAUUAGAAACGAAUGUGGUUACCAAUAUCCAUAUAUCACAUUUUAGUGGAUACGAAUUCAGAUAUCUGCCUACCACUUUCCACUCCUAUCAGUUACCAUUUUAAAUCAGUUUUGUAACAAAACAAAUGCGUGUGCAACACUCAUACGAACUCCA